rnacentral:tRNA from 1 species
GAGGGGGAUUAGGCGGCAGUUGAAAGAGCUGCUUGAAAGCUUGACGAAGAAGCGAAAAAGCCUAUAUAUAGAUUCUAUUCUUUCUUAUUAUUCAUUAUUAUUCUAUUUUUAGUACAAGGGCUUUUUACUAGUCAAGUGGUAAGGUAGGGCGCUAUUCGAUGAAGAAAACAUCUUUUAGGAAAGUGGUUCAGGUAGCUCAGCUGGUUAGAGCAAAGGACUGAAAAUCCUUGUGUCAGUGGUUCGAAUCCACUUCUAAGCGGGCCAAGGGUCCAAAGGCCGGAUUUUGAAAUUCAAGUGCAAGAGUAAGCCAAAAAAUGUGAGCGCUCCUGCACUAUACAACUUUUUUUGCGUCGCCCUAUCUUGCUGGAGGCAUAUUCAAAAUAGAUAUAUAAAAUAGAAAAUAUAGAAAAUAUAUAAAAUCUAUCAAAAUGGAAAAAAAGAAAAAGAAAAGAAAAAAAAAAGAA